rnacentral:rRNA from 1 species
AACGCUGCCGGCGUGCUUAUUCAUGCAAGUCGCACGAUGAUCCCAGCUUGCUGGGGGAUUAGUGGCGAACGGGUGAGUAACACGUGAGUAACCUGCCCUUGACUCUGGGAUAAGCCUGGGAAACUGGGUCUAAUACCGGAUACGACCAUUCCACGCAUGUGGUGGUGGUGGAAAGCUUUUGUGGUUUUGGAUGGACUCGCGGCCUAUCAGCUUGUUGGUGGGGUAAUGGCCUACCAAGGCGACGACGGGUAGCCGGCCUGAGAGGGUGACCGGCCACACUGGGACUGAGACACGGCCCAGACUCCUACGGGAGGCAGCAGUGGGGAAUAUUGCACAAUGGGCGCAAGCCUGAUGCAGCGACGCCGCGUGAGGGAUGACGGCCUUCGGGUUGUAAACCUCUUUCAGUAGGGAAGAAGCGUAAGUGACGGUACCUGCAGAAGAAGCGCCGGCUAACUACGUGCCAGCAGCCGCGGUAAUACGUAGGGCGCAAGCGUUAUCCGGAAUUAUUGGGCGUAAAGAGCUCGUAGGCGGUUUGUCGCGUCUGCUGUGAAAGACCGGGGCUCAACUCCGGUUCUGCAGUGGGUACGGGCAGACUAGAGUGCAGUAGGGGAGACUGGAAUUCCUGGUGUAGCGGUGAAAUGCGCAGAUAUCAGGAGGAACACCGAUGGCGAAGGCAGGUCUCUGGGCUGUAACUGACGCUGAGGAGCGAAAGCAUGGGGAGCGAACAGGAUUAGAU